rnacentral:lncRNA from 1 species
UAGUUUAUACACCUAGCUUUAGAAUCGUUUAAUUUACUGUUUUCAUGUUGUCGCUUUUGUUCAGUUUACUUUUUUCCGUUCAUUAUGUUGUCCAUUCUAUUCAGCAUUUUUAUCUUUCUGCAUUUCCAAUUUCCUUACUUGCUUCAGAGACCGUUCGGUUCUCAAUGUAGAACCGUUUGGUCAUCUGCAGGACCGUUUAGUCUUCAUGCUUUGUCCAUUUAUUUUAAUAUUUUCAAUUAUGUUUAGUUGUAUUUAAUUUCCAAUUUUAAUUUAGUUCAUUUCUAAACACAAAAACACUUUCAAAACCCCCCACACGGUGUUUGACCUAAGUCUCGAACUACAGUUUGGUCCUUGAGAGAUGACCUAGGAGUCAAUUCCUAGCAUUAUACUGCAUUUUAUGCACAUUAAAUUUGUAUGGGGUGUGACACCCAUCAAAUUUUGGUACAGUUGUUGGGGACCAAUGGUUCGGUUUUAGCUCUUUUGUUGUGUUAAUAUGUGUUGUGUUUUGUCUUGUGUUGUUAGUGUGAUGUUCUGUUUUUUGUGUGCAUUAUUGUGUGUGCGAGUCGCAUGUUUAAUUGUGUUGUGUUUUGUGUGUUUCGUAAUAUUUAAACUUUCCUUUCUACCUUCCCCCUUCUUUUAGCAUGUCUACCUAUUUGAUUAUGAGCAUACUGCUUUGUCUGCCUGUGCCUAUGAUUAUGAUUCUCCUUCUAUAUCCAGUGCUCCAUAUCUUAUUCAUACUACACCUGGUGCAUCUAACUCUGAGUUUAGUUCUCAUGAAUAUUCUGCUGAUUUUUAUGUUGAAAACAAUAUGACUCAUUUUGUAACUCCUGAG